GAAAGAGCGGGUGGGGGAGGGGGACUGCGCGUCACUCACUGUUCUCCCCCCUCCCCCGCACAG
ensembl:miRNA Mir7045 microRNA 7045